AUGCAGUCGUGCGGCAGCGGGCCUCUCACCAUGCCCUCCGGUGAUUCACUGGAGGUUGUGGUGAGAGGUGCCGGCGAGCGGCGUAAGGGAGAGUAACGCGUGGUUAUGUACCCUUGGGACCGGGAUAGCGUCGGGAAACUGACGGUAAUACCGGAUAAUAUCUCCGGAUCAAAUGGUGAGAUUCCGCCCGAGGAUCAGACCGCGUUCUAUUAGCUUGUUGGCGGGGUAAUGGCCCACCAAGGCUGCGAUGGAUACCGGGUGUGAGAGCAUGACCCGGCUCACUGGGACUGAGACACUGCCCAGACACCUACGGGUGGCUGCAGUCGAGAAUCUUCGGCAAUGGACGAAAGUCUGACCGAGCGACGCCGCGUGCGGGAUGAAGGCCUUCGGGUUGUAAACCGCUGUCAGUUGGGAGGAAAUCUAUGGGGGUACUCUCCCAUAGUUGACCGAUCUUCAGAGGAAGGACGGGCUAAGUUCGUGCCAGCAGCCGCGGUAAGACGAACCGUCCAAACGUUAUUCGGUAUCACUGGGCUUAAAGCGUGCGUAGGCGGUCUGGUAGGUGGGGUGUGAAAUCCCUCGGCUCAACCGAGGAACUGCGCUCCAAACCCCCAGACUUGAGGAAGACAGGGGUGAGUGGAACUGUUGGUGGAGCGGUGAAAUGCGUUGAUAUCAACAGGAACACCGGUGGCGAAAGCGACUCACUGGGUCUUUUCUGACGCUGAGGCACGAAAGCUAGGGGAGCGAACGGGAUUAGAUACCCCGGUAGUCCUAGCCGUAAACGAUGAGCACUGUGUUGGGGGGACUUCCACAUCCUCCCGG
rnacentral:rRNA from 1 species